UUCCUGACCCAUGUACCCAGAUUUCCCCAACACAACAAGACAGCUGAUCAGCAACCUCAGCUGUGCAAAAAAUAACAUUUAUAAAUACAAAUCCUGGAGCCAGGCUGAGAGGAUUCAGUUGGAGGGUUUCAACCUGCAUUCUCUCACCUGUCUUCAAGAGAAGCCAUGGUACUGGGCUGCAUGGUAGCUGUGCUCAAUUUAUUGCCUCUCCUCCGUGCUAACCCCCUGCAUUGUGAUUUCCAAGUUCCACAAAUCCCAGACAACACUACAGGCUCCAAGUUGUUGGGGAAAUGGUUCUACGUGGCUGGAGCCUCCCAGUUCCCCCUUGACUGGCUGGAGAUGACACUGAUUGAUAAUGGUUACCUCCAGGUGGACCCAAAUGAGCAGGGGCAGGAGUUAUUCAUCAACCAGCACAUCUCAGCAAUGGAUGAAUGUCUCACAAGCAAUUCAACUUAUUUUGAAGUCACUGUUGAUCAUGUAACACUAAUCAAGAAUGUUUGUUCAGGGAGGAGUACAGAAACCAACCCAUCUAAAAUUUAACAGUCCAGAACCGACGUACCGUGGGGAAGCUUAUGAACAGCAGUUCUGAAGACAUCUUACUAAUUCAAAUUGAAAUACAAAAGGAGAAGAACUACACAGGAUUGUAUCUAUACGCCCGGAAUCGACCCCCAAGUAAAGUUCACUUGAAUGAACUCAGGAACCAUGCUGAAUGUCUGGGCCUCAGUGAAGACAAAAUAGUUUAUGCACCGUGGAAGAAGGAUCCCUGUCCAAAGGAAGAAACCAAGCCAAGCAGCUCCGAAGACCAGGAGCCCCCAGCUGCAGUCACAGCUUCAUUCCAGGGAUCAUUAUGAGCCAAAACAACUGCUUUAUCGCCUAUUCGGUAAAUAAAGUUUUUCUUCUUUGUUUGAA